rnacentral:rRNA from 1 species
UCGAGCGAGCGGAACAACAGAUUUACUUCGGUAAUGACGUUGGGAAAGCGAGCGGCGGAUGGGUGAGUAACACGUGGGGAACCUGCCCCUAAGUCUGGGAUACCAUUUGGAAACAGGUGCUAAUACCGGAUAAUAAAGCAGAUCGCAUGAUCAGCUUUUGAAAGGCGGCGUAAGCUGUCGCUAAGGGAUGGCCCCGCGGUGCAUUAGCUAGUUGGUAAGGUAACGGCUUACCAAGGCGACGAUGCAUAGCCGAGUUGAGAGACUGAUCGGCCACAUUGGGACUGAGACACGGCCCAAACUCCUACGGGAGGCAGCAGUAGGGAAUCUUCCACAAUGGACGCAAGUCUGAUGGAGCAACGCCGCGUGAGUGAAGAAGGUUUUCGGAUCGUAAAGCUCUGUUGUUGGUGAAGAAGGAUAGAGGUAGUAACUGGCCUUUAUUUGACGGUAAUCAACCAGAAAGUCACGGCUAACUACGUGCCAGCAGCCGCGGUAAUACGUAGGUGGCAAGCGUUGUCCGGAUUUAUUGGGCGUAAAGCGAGCGCAGGCGGAAAAAUAAGUCUAAUGUGAAAGCCCUCGGCUUAACCGAGGAACUGCAUCGGAAACUGUUUUUCUUGAGUGCAGAAGAGGAGAGUGGAACUCCAUGUGUAGCGGUGGAAUGCGUAGAUAUAUGGAAGAACACCAGUGGCGAAGGCGGCUCUCUGGUCUGCAACUGACGCUGAGGCUCGAAAGCAUGGGUAGCGAACAGGAUUAGAUACCCUGGUAGUCCAUGCCGUANACGAUGAGUGCUAAGUGUUGGGAGGUUUCC